rnacentral:misc_RNA from 1 species
GAUGAAGAACGUAGCGAAAUGCGAUAAUUAAUGUGAAUUGCAGAAUUCAGUGAAUCAUCGAAUCUUUGAACGCACAUUGCGCCCGCCAGUAUUCUGGCGGGCAUGCCUGUUCGAGCGUCAUUUCAACCAUCAAGCCCCCGGCUUGUGUUGGGGACCUGCGGCUGCCGCAGGCCCUGAAAAGCAGUGGCGGGCUCGCUGUCACACCGAGCGUAGUAGCAUACAUCUCGCUCUGGGCGUGCUGCGGGUUCCGGCCGUUAAACCACCUUCAUAACCCAAGGUUGACCUCGGAUCAGGUAGGAAGACCCGCUGAACUUAAGCAUAUCAAUAAGCGGAGGA